AUGGGAGGCACCGGGAAACACCAAAGCAAGCUCUCACCUCCAACACUAGAGGUGAAAACAAAGCAAGUUAGGCUUUCCUCCGUGUUCCCACUCCCACUGCUCUUAUGCCCUCUUCUCUUCCACUUCCCGGCUUGCCUUCAAACUCUCAAGUUAUCUAAAUAUGUGGACACAUGUCUACCGUUUCUCCAUCAAAGCUACUAUGCAAUCCAAAAGGAAGAGGAAGGAGUGCACAACAACGGUAGGAAUGGGAGGCAUCAGGAAAGGACCCAUGCCUAA
rnacentral:rRNA from 1 species